rnacentral:rRNA from 1 species
GACGAACGCUGGCGGCGUGCCUAAUACAUGCAAGUAGGACGCAGUUGCGAACGGGUGAGUAACGCGUAGGUAACUACCUAUUAGAGGGGGAUAACUAUUUGAAACGAUAGCUAAUACCGCAUACUAGUAGAUGGACCUGCGUUGUAUUCGCUAGUAGGUAGGGUAAUGGCCUACCGAGGCAACGAUACAUAGCCGACCUGGGAGGGUGGUCGGCCAAAACGGGACUGGGAAACCGGCCAGACUCCUACGGGAGGCAGCAGGAGGGAAACUUUGGGAAUGGGGGGAACGCUGAACGAGGAACGCCGCGUGAGUGAAGAAGGGUUUCGGAUUGUAAAGCUCUGUUGUUAAGGAAGCGGUACUUAACCAGAAAGGGACGGCUAACUACGUGCCAGCCGCCGCGGUAAUAC